UGACAGGUCCAUUUACUGAUGAAACAGUUACGGAUUUUUGGAGAAUGGUUUGGAAUGAGAACGUUAAUACAAUUGUUGUCCUGACUAAUUUGGAAGAGAAUGGUGUCAAAAAGUGUAGAAAGUACUGGCCAACUACUGAAACGAUGUAUGGAGACAUACAAGUGAAGACAUUAUCCUCGGAUUCCUCUUCUUGUUACAAAGUGCGUCGCUUCCAAAUUACAUUGGACAAUGAAGUUCGGACCGUAAAGCAGUUUCAUUUUACUGCCUGGCCAGAUAAAGGUGUGCCUAGUUCUGUCAAUUGUAUACUAGAUUUCAGGAGAAAAAUCAGACGCUAGGCAGACAUAACAAGUCCUAUUGUUGUACACUGCAGGGAUGGAGCUAAAAAAAGUGGGUUAUUCUGUGUGUUGGCUAAUCUAGUGGAACAAUUACAACUCUCUGGUUCUGUGGACAUUCUACAAACAGUGCUGAAUGUUCGCCACCGGCGUCCGCAGAUCGUCCCUUGUUUGGAACAGCUGGAAUAUAUUUACGAUUUUAUAAAGAAAUAUCUUGAGUCUGGAAACAAAGUUUAGACAUCAUAUUUUUCUUUUUUCUUAUUAUAUAGCAUUUAAAAAGUUACAUACAAUAAAUGUUUACGACACUUUUUGAGGUUUCUUACGUUUAUGGCUUGUUUUGAGUCUUGAGAUUUUUGUAUUAUUAUUAUGAUGUUGAAUUUUGUUUAAUAUUAUGUCACUUAUUUAGUUUGUCUCACAUAUACGUGUGUUCAGCUAAAAAUGCAAAACAGUGAUAAUUUUAUAUUUUUAUAACAUUUUUAUUUUUGUUUUCUAUUAACUUGACAAUGUAUAGUGGGUGUCGUUUUUCAUUUAUCAUUAUUUCUGUAGUUACAUAAUGAUAUUAAAGUUUAUGUUGCAUAGGAUUUUAGCUGGACAAUACUCUUCUCAGUCAUAUAAAAAUAUUCCAGAAAAUUAAUUUAAUUAAUAUAUAUAGAUAUUGUCAUCCUCCUAACUCCUUGAGAUCAUAGUCCACCUCGUGACCAUGAACGUCUCACGGCCACGAGAGUACUAAGGACGUCUGACGUUGUUAGGAUAUAAUAUCAGUAAAAAACGGGUAAUCAAAAUUAAGGAAUAUUAUUACAUUUUGACAAACCUUGUUGAUUGUAAAUGUGUUUUCACAAUACCGGUAACUUUCUAUCAUAAUGCUUGGUUAUGUCAUACAUGUAUGCAUUCGAGACAUUUCCUAAGCAUGCCAAUUCAACAAAAACAAAUGAAGAAUUAUAAUAGUUCCUUAACAAGCUUUUUUGAAUUAGAGUUAACAAUCUGUUUAUUUAUUAAGGAGUCUUGUAAGAAAUUAAUAAUCUGAGACAAUAAUUUUUGUUAAUAUCCAAUACACAUUAAUAGUUUUAAUUUUUCUUCGUAAAGAUAAACUAAAUUUUAUUUUUUUUCCAUAUGUCAAAUGUACCUUAAGAUGAAAUUACACAUCGUCACAAAAUGGCUGACCUCUGAUCGAAACGAUAUUUCGUUUCAUUAAAAUAUUUUGAUAGAAACAUGUCACUUACUCCGAAGCCGAGUGGAUAAAAACUCGGUCUUGUGAUUUGUACAUCCCGAGUUCGAAUCCCUCAGGGCUUUUUGUUGUUAUUUACUGAAUUUAUUUUAUUAGAUAAUCAUUUUUUUAUCCCAGACUGCAAUUUGUACGCUUAUUUGACAUAUUUUUAGUUUAUGUAUCAUUAUAUCUUUCAUAAUUAAAAAAAUACUGUAAAUAUGAGUGAUUUUUCUAGGUGUGUUAUUCCACUUUAAGUUGAAAAAAUUUAAAAUUUCUGACGCAAAGUAUGCACGUCGCCGCAAAAUCAGCUUCAUUUGCAAGAAGAUGGAUAACUCAUACUUGGAUUUUACUGGGUAAUAUGUCGGGAUUAUCUUAACUAUGAAAAAAACUUUUAAACUGUACAUACAUGUUCAUGUCAUUAAGGAUGCUGGUGGAUAAUGUUUAUCUUUAUUUUUUUAUUUUUUUUUUUUUAUUUUUUUUUUUUUUUUUUUACAUAUUUUGAAUGUAAAAUAACUAUAAUUACCCGGUGGAAUUAUGUGUCUGUUAUCAUUAUUGUAUUAUUUUUUAUAAUAUUAUAAUUAUCAUUGUUUUUAUUACCAUCAUUAAUAAUAUUAUUAUAAUAACUUGAUUUGAUUCAUUUUUGAUAAGCAUUGAUUUCACAGAGACAAAUUAGUUUUCUUUAACUUUACUGUGUGAACCGUUGGAUUUAAAUCAAAAUCAAACAUUUCUGAAAAUGAUAAUCAUAUUUUGCUCUAUAUUUAUGAAAUAUCACCCUUUUCUUUCACAUUUCUAUAUGUUUAAUACAGAUUGUUUUUUAUUUCAUAAACGACAU